UUUCYGUAGGUGAACUGCGGAAGGAUCAUUG
rnacentral:rRNA from 1 species